ACUCAACAAGAAUUAAUUUAAAAAGGUGAGUUUAGGUUGUAAAAGCAUGCCGUUCCUUUUAAGGACUACGGAUCCUUGAGCAGCCUGGUAGCCUUAAACCUGUUUUUAGGAGUUU
rnacentral:sRNA from 1 species